rnacentral:rRNA from 1 species
UACGGGGGGGGCAAGCGUUGUUCGGAAUUACUGGGCGUAAAGGGCUCGUAGGCGGCCAACUAAGUCGGAUGUGAAAUCCCAGGCUCAACCUGGGAACUGCAUCCGAUACUGGAUGGCUUGAAUUCGGGAGAGGGAUGCAGAAUUCCAGGUGUAGCGGUGAAAUGCGUAGAUAUCUGGAGGAAUACCGGUGGCGAAGGCGGGUCUCUGGGCAGUAACUGACGCUGAGGAGCGAAAGCGUGGGGAGCGAACAGG